rnacentral:rRNA from 1 species
UACAGAGGGUGCGAGCGUUGUCCGGAAUUACUGGGCGUAAAGCGCGCGCAGGCGGCUAUCCAAGUCAGUGGUGAAAGCCCGGAGCUUAACUCCGGAACUGCCAUUGAAACUGUUUAGCUUGAGGACGAGAGAGGUGAGUGGAAUUCCCAGUGUAGAGGUGAAAUUCGUAGAUAUUGGGAAGAACACCGGUGGCGAAGGCGGCUCACUGGACCGGUAUUGACGCUGAGGUGCGAAAGCGUGGGGAGCAAACAGGG